UGUGAAAGCAGAAGUAAAAUAUGUUACUU
rnacentral:piRNA from 1 species